rnacentral:tRNA from 1 species
GGGCCCGUAGCUCAGUGGUAGAGCAGCCGGCUCAUAACCGGUCGGUCGCAGGUUCGAACCCUGCCGGGCCCACCA